GUACUUUUGCAAGAGAAAUUUUUUCGGAUCGGAUUGUAUUGUAGCUCGUAUCGCCGCUGUCGUGAUUUUGCAAGUAUAUUUUGACUCCCCCUCUCAAAAGUUUCUGGUUCCGCCACUGUUUAUCAUAAGUGCAAUGUUAGACCAAAGCGAUUCAUGUAUGAUUAGUUAGUAAUUUAUCAGUUUAGAUGCAAUUGAUGAUGUAAAACAGUGUUAAAACUAGAUGCUAGGUAUGCAUAAUCAUAAGGAUUGACAUAUUGUAUAGCUAUGUGGGAAUCGAAAG
rnacentral:lncRNA from 1 species